rnacentral:rRNA from 1 species
AGAGGAAGGCUCGUCCGCUCUGGGUUAGUCGGGUCCUAAGCUGAGGCCGACAGGCGUAGGCGAUGGAUAACAGGUUGAUAUUCCUGUACCACCUAUAAUCGUUUUAAUCGAUGGGGGGACGCAGUAGAAUAGGCGAAGCGUGCGAUUGGAUUGCACGUCUAAGCAGUAAGGCUGAGUAUUAGGCAAAUCCGGUACUCGUUAAGGCUGAGCUGUGAUGGGGAGAAGACAUUG